rnacentral:rRNA from 1 species
CCAAUAGCGUAUAUUAAGGUUGUUGCAGUUAAAAAGCUCGUAGUUGAAUUUCGGGAUCAAGGAAUCGGUCAUGCCUCGGUAUGUACUGGUUUUAUUGGUUCUCACCUUCUAAAGAACCAUAAUGUCAUUUAUUUGAUGUUAUGGGGAAUUAGGACUGUUACCUUGAAAAAAUUAGAGUGUUUAAAGCAAGCUCACGCUUGAAUACAUUAGCAUGGAAUAAUGAAAUAGGACAUCCGAUUCUAUUUUGUUGGUUUCUAGGAUCGAUGUAAUGAUUAAUAGGGAUAGUUGGGGGCAUUAGUAUUCAAUUGUCAGAGGUGAAAUUCUUGGAUUUAUUGAAGACUAACUACUGCGAAAGCAUUUGCCAAGGAUGUUUUCAUUAAUCAAGAACGAAAGUUAGGGGAUCGAAGACGAUCAGAUACCGUCGUAGUCUUAACCAUAAACUAUGCCGACUAGGGAUCGGAUGAUGUUUAUUUUUUAGUGACUCAUUCGGCACCUUACG